rnacentral:lncRNA from 10 species
GGAGGAGGACGACGUCCCUCCCGAAGAGAAGAGGCUGCGGCUCUUGCUGGAGGGGGGAAGCGCACAGCCCCAGGACUGCGAGGACGGGCAGGACGCGCCGCGGUCGGCCAGGAAGGAGACCGGCACCCAGACAGGUGGCGACGGCAGAGGAGCACAGUGGCUCACACCUGUAAUCCCAGCACUUUGGCAGGUCGAGGCUGGUGGAUCACCUAAGGUCAGGAGUUCGAGACCAGCCUGGCCAACAUGGCGGAACUGUCUCUACUGAAAAUACAGAAAUUAGCCAGGUGUGAUGGCACACACCUGUAAUCACAGCUGCUUGGGAGGCUGAGGCAGGAGAAUCAUUUGAACCUGGGAGACAGAGGUUGCAGUCAGCCGAGAUCGCACCAAUGCACUUCAGCCAGCCUGGGUGACAGAGUGAGACCCUGUUUCAAAAAUAAAUAAAUAAAUAAAAUAGAA